UACGGAGGAUGCAAGCGUUGUCCGGAAUGAUUGGGCGUAAAGCGUCCGCAGGUGGCGAUGUAAGUCUGCUGUUAAAGAGUCUAGCUCAACUAGAUAAGAGCAGUGGAAACUACAUAGCUAGAGUACGUUCGGGGCAGAGGGAAUUCCUGGUGUAGCGGUGAAAUGCGUAGAGAUCAGGAAGAACACCAGUGGCGAAGGCGCUCUGCUAGGCCGUAACUGACACUGAGGGACGAAAGCUAGGGGAGCAAACAGG
rnacentral:rRNA from 1 species